GGCGAAGUCGUCUAAGGGUUAAGAUCGUGGAUUGCAACUCCAUGGAUGGUAGUUCAAAUCUACUCUUCGCCU
rnacentral:tRNA from 1 species